rnacentral:tRNA from 1 species
GGUCUGGUAGCUCAGCGGUAGAGCAAUUGGCUGUUAACCAAUCGGUCGGUGGUUCGAUCCCACCCCAGUCCGCCA